GAUUUCUGGUUCGGCGCACUUGGCCCGCCUCGGUUUACGGGGUUGUGUGCCGGUGUGCGCCAUCCAUCCUUCGAGUGAACAGUUCUGCCCUUCACUGGGUUGGAGCUGCCUAACUCGAUCAUUUACUUUGAAAAAAUUAGAGUGUUUAAAGCAGGCUUGCGCUAUGAAUACAUUAGCAUGGAAUAAUAAUUUAGGACUUUGGUCUUAUUUUGUUGGUUUCUAGGACUAAAGUAAUGAUUGAUAGGGAUAGUUGGGGGUGCUAGUAUUCAGCGGCCAGAGGUGAAAUUCUUGGAUUCGCUGAAGACUAACUUAUGCGAAAGCAUU
rnacentral:rRNA from 1 species